GGAGGCGAGCUUCCAGUUCACUGACCAAGGGAGUCCGGGGACAUUCAAGACCAACUGCGUUACCGUCAUGCAGAUCCUGGACACGGACUACGAAACCUACAUAAUCACUUACGUCGUAAAGGGAUCAAGCGCCUUUCUGGCGCUUGCAGCCAAAGAGAAAACCUUGUCGGAGGCUCUAAGGAUGAAAUUUGCCAAUUUCGCCGCCUCUGUAGGCAUCUCAGGAGCGAUUGUGCCCAUGAUCCCACUAGAAGAGUGCUAAGGAGUCCAGAGUCCAGGGGCACGGAGGGGUCCUUGCCAGCCAACCCACACCUUGCUUGGGGAAGCAGGA